AUGCUCACUUUGGCAGCACAUAUACUAAAAUUGGAACAAUACAGGGAAGAUUAGCAUGGCUUCUAUGUGAGGAUGAUACAUAAGUUUGUGAUGUAUUCCAUAUUAAA
ensembl:snRNA U6 U6 spliceosomal RNA